GACGAACGCUGGCGGCGUGCUUAACACAUGCAAGUCGAACGGAAAGGCCUGCUUUCCCUUGUGGAUUGCGGGUACUCGAGUGGCGAACGGGUGAGUAACACGUGAGUGAUCUGCCCCCAACUUGGGUAUAAGCCUGGGAAACUGGGUCUAAUUCCCGAUAGGACUGCAGGGUGGUGCCUGUGGUGGAAAACGAUUUUCUAGUGGUUGGGGAUGAGCUCGCGGCCUAUCAGCUUGUUGGUGGGGUAAUGGCCUACCAAGGCGGCGACGGGUAGCCGGCCUGAGAGGGUGGACGGGCACAUUGGGACUGAGAUACGGCCCAGACUCCUACGGGAGGCAGCAGUGGGGAAUAUUGCACGAUGGGCGGAAGCCUGAUGCAGCGACGCAGCGUGGGGGAUGACGGCCUUCGGGUUGUAAACUCCUUUCGACCGCGAGGAAGCCACCUGGUUGGAAGGGUGGUGACGGUAGUGGUAGAAGAAGCACUGGCUAACUACGUG
rnacentral:rRNA from 1 species